rnacentral:rRNA from 1 species
GACGAACGCUGGCGGCGUGCUUAACACAUGCAAGUCGAACGGAAAGGCCCUGCUUUUGUGGGGUGCUCGAGUGGCGAACGGGUGAGUAAAAGGUGAGUAACCUGCCCUUGACUUUGGGAUAACUUCAGGAAACUGGGGCUAAUACCGGAUAGGAGCUCCUGCUGCAUGGUGGGGGUUGGAAAGUUUCGGCGGUUGGGGAUGGACUCGCGGCUUAUCAGCUUGUUGGUGGGGUAGUGGCUUACCAAGGCUUUGACGGGUAGCCGGCCUGAGAGGGUGACCGGCCACAUUGGGACUGAGAUACGGCCCAGACUCCUACGGGAGGCAGCAGUGGGGAAUAUUGCACAAUGGGCGGAAGCCUGAUGCAGCGACGCCGCGUGCGGGAUGACGGCCUUCGGGUUGUAAACCGCUUUCGCCUGUGACGAAGCGUGAGUGACGGUAAUGGGUAAAGAAGCACCGGCUAACUACGUG